rnacentral:rRNA from 1 species
UACUNGGUUGGUUUUUGGUCUCCCGACCCGCCGGCGUUCUCCACUGCCUCUCUGCCGUCGCGCGCCGCGACCGGCGCUUGCUCCUUCGCCGUCGCGGCGGCCGGGUGCGUCCCCGUGGGCCCCUCCCUUCUCGUGGGCUCCUCCGGGCCCCCGGGGCUACACUACCCGACACUACACUCUACUUUUACCUUCCUGGUGACACACUACCUGACACACGACCGGUUUCGGCUGUCGCUACUACACGACUGGGCCCGCGGCGCCUUACGCUACGUUGGUGACGGGUACCCGGCUCCCCNACGGCGACCGACUGCGUACGCCGACCCUGACGACGGGGUGACUCGGCCCCACUGGGGACCUGACGACCACCGGUCCCACGACCUCCUACCGGGGACGGGCACGGCNCGUACGGGACACUCUUUCCACAACUGGGG